UGUGUUGUAUAAUAUUCUUCGCUGGACGUAAAACACUUAGCAUUAAAAUUGUUGCGAUUAUCACUCAUCCAUUUUGGGGAUCGUAUCGCAGGGUAGCGGACACAUGAUGUCACCAGCUUGUUAUCGGCUGUACUCUAUUAAUCUGCUGUGCGUGGCAGAUCAUUGCAUUUGCUGGUAACAUGGUAAGGAGAUUCGUAUGUUUCAGAGCGUGCAAAUGCGUUGUAUACGAGUGUGAAACAGUUGAAAGGUGCUUUUUUUUAUAUAAAAAUUGUGUCAAAUGUCAGCAGUGAACGGUUUGGUGAAGAAACCGGCGUAAGUGUGAGAGCGUCAAGAGAUGCAUACGCGGUAACAGCUGAACGAUUUUUAGUGCACUUUUAUGUGGUCGCCAUAGUCGAAGUCAUAUGGAAUAGCAGUAGCCAGUCAGACUUCUACUGCAGUGAUAUUGCAAAAAUCUCACUUUAGAUAUGAUGUCUACAAGUGAACGACAGUACUACGUAGAAAUAUUACUCCGAAUGUUUCAGUCGCUGUUAGUAUGCCCCUUGCAGCUGGCAGUGGAAAACUUUAUUUUUUCACUACAUGCAAUAAUCUGCGUUUACAGACAACAGUUAUGUUGCCGAUGAUAUUUUUCGACGUCCAGCACAGCGUUCAUCGCACCAACGGUGGACGCCGGUGGCGCUGGGAGGGUUGGGAUAACGAGCUGGAAUGCCUUGUUUUUGAGGUAUUUGAACUGAGUGUGGCGGUGUUAACCGUCAGCGUUUCACGGCGGCUACCACCAACAAUUCGACAACAGUUAAGGCUCAGCUGUAUCUAACAUACAUGCUCAAGAAGUGCACACAGAGUGCUGGAGGCAGUGGCAGCAUUCACAGUAGCUGUGAUGGCUGCAAGUGGCAGUGAUGGCGCGAUGGUGGUGCUGACUCUCAGAAGACUGCUAAAGAUCAUGAUGGUGGGCAACCAAAAGGCUGCAGCCAGUGCCAAAGCACCAUAACAACACACUUCUGAAGAGGGAAAGGAAGUAGAUGGAUAGAAGACCGGGCGCUAAAGAUUCAACAGGGACAACAGCAGAUGCAAGCCAGUCAGCAGGGCAAGUCUUGGCAGCUGCUCGACAGAGAUCGCCGUCGGUGAAGGCACUAUUUUGCCACACCUCACAGGGACACAGACCAGGGAUGAAGAUGGCAUCUGACUAGGAGAGCCAAAGGGCAACGAGCUAAUUAUUCCCAGCAGCAACAGACAAUCACACGGUUCCCAUGCAGCCAUCUGGGUGGUGUUAAAAUCUGCAGACGGAGGGCUGCAGACAGUCGCAGUCGAAUUCUGGAGUUAUAUCCUAUGGUUAACAGUUGCGUUCCAAAGUCGUCAGUCGCAGUUACAUAGAGACAAUAUACUGGAUGACAGUCGCAGUUGUAUACAGACUGCUGUACUGGAAUAUACCAGAUGAAUAAACAAAUUUAUUAUUAGAACCACUAUGGUCACAUACAGUGCUGCAUUGCCAUUAACAACCUAAUUAUGGAGGACAUUACUAUGGGUGAUAACUUGUUAAGACUAAGAGUCUACUGUAUGGAAUGUUUGUGCACCAGAUUUCAGGUCAAGAUAUUUCGGAGUUGUUAUAAAUAAGAUAUACCUUAAUUGAACUAAUUUGUUUAUGUAGUAGCUUCAGAAUGCUACAAUGCCACAGUUGAUAGUGAUUUACCUCAACUGAAGUAGAAAGCACUUCACAACAUCAGAGGUGUUAUCAAAAAGUAACGGGAUUUUUUUAAUUUAGCGGGUUUAUCAUUCGAUUUUCAAUUUUUUUGUUCUCUUGUUGAUACACAGGGUCCUAAAUGGAAAUGCCUUAUGGCUAGGACCUCCCAUCGGGUAAACCAUUCGCCUGGCGCAAGUAUUUCGAGUUGACGCCACUUCGGCGACUUGCGUGUGGACGGCGAUGAAAUGAUGAUUAGGAUAACACAACACCCCGUCCCUGAGCGGAGAAAAUCUCCGACCCAGCCGGAAAUCGAUCCCGGGCCGUUAGGUAUGACAUUCCAUGGCGCUGACUACUCAGCUACCAGGGGCGGACCACAUGGUCCUGAUUUACGUUUACAU